rnacentral:rRNA from 1 species
CUGGGCUUAAAUGUAGAGCGACAGAUUGUGAAAGCAGUCCUUCUUCGGACGAUCUACAAGGUGCUGCAUGGUUGUCGUCAGCUCGUGCCGUGAGGUGUCGGGUUAAGUCCCAUAACGAGCGCAACCCUUAUCGUUAGUUGCCAGCGGGUCAUGCCGGGGACUCUAGCGAGACUGCCACCGUAAGGUGUGAGGAAGGUGGGGAUGACGUCAAAUCAGCACGGCCCUUAUGUCCAGGGCUACACACGUGUUACAAUGGCAAAUACAAAGGGCAGCUACCGGGUGACCGGAUGCUAAUCUCCAAAGUUGGUCUCAGUUCGGAUCGAAGUCUGCAACCCGACUUCGUGAAGCUGGAUUCGCUAGUAAUCGCAUAUCAGCCAUGAUGCGGUGAAUACGUUCC